CCUACGGGUGGCUGCAGUGGGGAAUAUUGCACAAUGGGCGCAAGCCUGAUGCAGCCAUGCCGCGUGUGUGAAGAAGGCCUUCGGGUUGUAAAGCACUUUCAGCGGGGAGGAAGGCGGUGAGGUUAAUAACCUCAUCGAUUGACGUUACCCGCCGAAGAAGCACCGGCUAACUCCGUGCCAGCAGCCGCGGUAAUACGGAGGGUGCAAGCGUUAAUCGGAAUUACUGGGCGUAAAGCGCACGCAGGCGGCCUGUCAAGUCGGAUGUGAAAGCCCCGGGCUCAACCUGGGAACUGCAUUCGAAACUGGCAGGCUAGAGUCUUGUAGAGGGGGGUAGAAUUCCAGGUGUAGCGGUGAAAUGCGUAGAGAUCUGGAGGAAUACCGGUGGCGAAGGCGGCCCCCUGGACAAAGACUGACGCUCAGGUGCGAAAGCGUGGGGAGCAAACAGGAUUAGAUACCCUUGUAGUC
rnacentral:rRNA from 1 species